rnacentral:rRNA from 1 species
UACGUAGGGUGCAAGCGUUAAUCGGAAUGACUGGGCGUAAAGGGUGCGCAGGCGGUCUGCUAAGACAGAGGUGAAAUCCCCGGGCUUAACCUGGGAAUGGCCUAUGUGACUGGCAGGCUAGAGGAUGGCAGAGGGAGGCGGAAUUCCACGUGUAGCAGUGAAAUGCGUAGAGAUGUGGAGGAACACCGAUGGCGUAGGCAGCCUCCUGGGCCAAUCCUGACGCUGAGGAGCGAAAGCGUGGGGAGCGAACAGG